rnacentral:rRNA from 1 species
AAUAUUGGACAAUGGGGGCAACCCUGAUCCAGCCAUGCCGCGUGUGUGAAGAAGGUCUUCGUAUCUUAAAGCACUUUAAGUUGGGAGGAAGGGCUUUAGGUUAAUACCCUUAAGUUUUGACGUUACCAACAGAAUAAGCACCGGCCAACUAUGUGCCAGCAGCCGCGGUAAUACAGAGGUUGCAAGCGUUAAUCGGAAUUACUGGUCGUAAAGCGCGCGUAGGUGGUUCAGUAAGAUGGAAGUGAAAUCCCCGGGCUUAACCUGGGAACUGCUUUCAUAACUGCUGAGCUAGAGUACGGUAGAGGGUAGUGGAAUUUCCUGUGUAGCGGUGAAAUGCGUAGAUAUAGGAAGGAACAUCAGUGGCGAAGGCGACUACCUGGACUGAUACUGACACUGAGGUGCGAAAGCGUGGGGAGCAAACAGG